GGGGAGGGGAGGCUGGAGGCGGAGAGUGUCCCGUGGUUAUCAAGCAGAGAGGAAAGAAGGGCAGCAGGAGAGAGUAUGAAGAAGCUUUCCAAAGGAUGAGUCUUUGAAAUUAAACUUCUUAGUUGACAUUCCCGCCUCCAAGGAGAGUUUGAGAAUAGAGACUCCCCUCCCGAGCAGCAUGGAGUUUCCAUGGGGCGUGGCAAGUUGCAACCCAUACUCCCGCCGCCCCCUCCGUCUGGCGGUCCCAGCUCCUGAGUUGGCUCCUCGCCCCACCCGCUCACGGUCGUCAUAAAGCCACGCCCUUCCCUCGCCCGCACAAAGCACCCGGAUGGAGUCCCUCUUCCGGGGUCUCGGUCGGCCCCCGCGAUAGGGUCUGCGCGCAGGGUCUUGCAGCGAGAAGCUGACAACUCCUUUCCAGCGCCUGGAAUGUCAGCCGCGCGCUGCGGAGAGUGUCUUCCACGGGUCCCACGUGGCUCCGUCCCCACCUCGCCACGUGCGCGGGCAGGGAGGGCGGUCCUCAGGCUCUGAGGAAGGUCACCGUUGGACGCCUUUGGAACGUGGCUGCUGUGACUUGGGAGAACGACAGUUGCACCUGCGGAUCGUCCCCCGUUUCAGAAUACGGUUUCUACUGGGAUCCCCCAGGACCUGAGAGACCUAGUGCCCUAUGUAGUUCACGGUCUUAGGAAAAUAGGAAGAGGGUACUGUGGGACGUUUGCCGAUGAAUCAAGGGCGUUGAGGCCCAUUUUUCAGAGCUCUGAUGUGCUGAUAAAGCAGUUAUAAGUCGGUAAUCAGCAAAAGUCAAUGCUCGACAGAAGUAAAGCUACACUCUUUUAUGAACUCUACUCAGUAUGAUGAAAUUUAGAAGUCCUUCGGAUUACUGCCCUUCACUUGGGAAAAUCAAAAUAGAGUACCUGCAAUACCCUUUUUUUUCACCCAUGACCCAAAAGAAUUAUUUGUGAGCUACCAUUCCAUAUAAAUUCUUGUCCAGAACUGAAAGAUGAAAUUCCUGCUACUGCUUCCCUGAUUGAUUUUCACAAUCACAUACUGAUAAUUGUAAAUCAUCACUAUUGAAGAUUUAGGGUAGUUUAUGACAUUUAGUUACCAAAAAAAGAUAUUAAAAAAAUUAACACUG